GUGCCAGCAGCGGCGGUAACACGUAGGGUGCGAGCGUUGUCCGGAAUUAUUGGGCGUAAAGAGCUUGUAGGCGGCUUGUCACGUCGGCUGUGAAAACCCGAGGCUCAACCUCGGGCCUGCAGUCGAUACGGGCAAGCUAGAGUAUGGUAGGGGAGACUGGAAUUCCAGGUGUAGCGGUGGAAUGCGCAGAUAUCUGGAGGAACACCGGUGGCGAAGGCGGGUCUCUGGGCCAUUACUGACGCUGAGAAGCGAAAGCGUGGGAGCGACAGGAUUAGAUACCCUGGUAGUCCACGCCGUAAACGUUGGGCGCUAGGUGUGGGGACCAUUCCACGGUUUCCGUGCCGC
rnacentral:rRNA from 1 species